rnacentral:rRNA from 1 species
AGUGAACGCUGGCGGUAGGCCUAACACAUGCAAGUCGAACGGCAGCACAGUAAGAGCUUGCUCUUACGGGUGGCGAGUGGCGGACGGGUGAGGAAUACAUCGGAAUCUACUUUUUCGUGGGGGAUAACGUAGGGAAACUUACGCUAAUACCGCAUACGUCCUACGGGUGAAAGCAGUGGAUCUUCGGACCUUGCGCGAUUGAAUGAGCCGAUGUCGGAUUAGCUAGUUGGCGGGGUAAAGGCCCACCAAGGCGACGAUCCGUAGCUGGUCUGAGAGGAUGAUCAGCCACACUGGAACUGAGACACGGUCCAGACUCCUACGGGAGGCAGCAGUGGGGAAUAUUGGACAAUGGGCGCAAGCCUGAUCCAGCCAUACCGCGUGGGUGAAGAAGGCCUUCGGGUUGUAAAGCCCUUUUGUUGGGAAAGAAAAGCAGCAGGUUAAUACCCCGCUGUUCUGACGGUACCCAAAGAAUAAGCACCGGCUAACUUCGUG